rnacentral:misc_RNA from 9 species
GCUUUAUUUAAAUGACAAAAGUAUUUUUAUAUAUUGAGUUUUACCUAUUUUAGAAUGAAUAAAAUAACAAUAAUAAUAAAAUAUAUUCAUAAAAAUUUUAAAUUUAUGGAUUUUUAUUUAACUUUAUUAUCAAUA